rnacentral:rRNA from 1 species
AGCCCUAAGAAUUUAUUUAGGGUGGCACCUGCCCAAUGAGAUAUUGAAUGGCCGCGGUACUCUGACCGUGCUAAGGUAGCAUAAUCAAUUGACUUUUAAAUGAAGUCUGGAAUGAACGGGGUAACGGAAUCUAGCUGUCUCACUCAUCUAAUAUGAAGUUACUAACUAAGUGAAAAGGCUUAGAAAUGAAAAAAGACGAGAAGACCCUAAGAGUUUUAAUUUUUGUUGGGGCGACAGGGGAUCAUAACAUCCUUGGCUAUACGACGGCUAUAUCAUGAUAAGAUAAACUACCUUAGGGAUAACAGCAUAAUUCUAUUGAGUUUGUGACCUCGAUGUUGGACUAGGAAGCCUUUAGGCUAGCUGCUUAAAGUGGGGAUUCUGUUCGAAUUUUUACUCCU